UAUCUACAGUAAAUUUACUUUUUUAACAUUAUCAACAACUAUUAAAAAUAUUAUUAACAAUAUUAACCACAAUUAACAAUAACUAUUAACAAUAUCCAACUCCCUUCCUUAUGAGAUUCUUCCCUUUGGGGAACAAGAACACUUUGAAAGCUUCUUUAUUUAACAGAGAGAGAGAGAAAGAGAGAUAGGAAGGAAGGAAGGAAGGAAGAGAGAGAGAGAGAGAAAGAAAGAAAGAAAGAAAGAAAGAAAGAAAGAAAGAAAGAAAGAAAGAAAGAAAGAAAGAAAGAAAGAAAGAAAGAAAGAAAGAAAGAAAGAAAGAAAGAAAGAAAGAAAGAAAGAAAGAAAGAAAGAAAGAAAGAAAGAAAGAAAGAAAAAGAAAGAAAGAAAGAAGCUCAAAUAGAUUCAUACGAAUAUGGUUGCAAGGAUUUUUUGAGAACUUCAAUAUAUCUUU
rnacentral:lncRNA from 1 species